UACGUAGGGCGCAAGCGUUAUCCGGAAUUAUUGGGCGUAAAGAGCUCGUAGGCGGUUUGUCGCGUCUGCCGUGAAAGUCCGGGGCUCAACUCCGGAUCUGCGGUGGGUACGGGCAGACUAGAGUGCAGUAGGGGAGACUGGAAUUCCUGGUGUAGCGGUGAAAUGCGCAGAUGUCAGGAGGAACACCGAUGGCGAAGGCAGGUCUCUGGGCUGUAACUGACGCUGAGGAGCGAAAGCAUGGGGAGCGAACAGG
rnacentral:rRNA from 1 species